rnacentral:rRNA from 1 species
AACUACUGGAAACGUUAGCUAAUACCGCAUAACCUCGAAAGAGCAAAGUGGGGGACCUUCGGGCCUCACACCAUCGGAUGAACCCAGAUGGUAUUAGCUAGUAGGUGGGGUAACGGCUCACCUAGGCGACGAUCCCUAGCUGGUCUGAGAGGAUGACCAGCCACACUGGAACUGAGACACGGUCCAGACUCCUACGGGAGGCAGCAGUGGGGAAUAUUGCACAAUGGGCGCAAGCCUGAUGCAGCCAUGCCGCGUGUAUGAAGAAGGCCUUCGGGUUGUAAAGUACUUUCAGCGGGGAGGAAGGGAUGAAGGUUAAUAACCUUCGUCAUUGACGUUACCCGCAGAAGAAGCACCGGCUAACUCCGUGCCAGCAGCCGCGGUAAUACGGAGGGUGCGAGCGUUAAUCGGAAUUACUGGGCGUAAAGCGCACGCAGGCGGUUUGUUAAGUCAGAUGUGAAAUCCCCGGGCUCAACCUGGGAACUGCAUUUGAAACUGGCAAGCUUGAGUCUCGUAGAGGGGGGUAGAAUUCCAGGUGUAGCGGUGAAAUGCGUAGAGAUCUGGAGGAAUACCGGUGGCGAAGCGGCCCCCUGGACGAAGACUGACGCUCAG